rnacentral:lncRNA from 1 species
GAGCCUUUCUCCUUGCAGUGGAUGUGGGUGAUACAAAACAACAGGCACCACGAUGUCCCACACCAUAAUCAAGUAUAAAAGGCUGAAGUGCCGAGAAUCGUGCCCCAGCAAACCAGCUGGUUCCUGAGAGCUUUUAGUCAGCUCAGAACUUUGAAGGGUUUCUCAGGAGAUCAAAGCUGGAGGAGUUGCGUGCCUGGGUCCCACUACAGACCUAUGAUGACAUCCGUCACAGAACCAGGAAAGAUGCAGAACCAAGAAAGAUGCAGAGACAGGAGGGAGCCUACAGGAGCAGAGAUGUCUCAGCCUUCCUAACUCCCGCUGGAUCCUGCAUCUCAGAUCGUGUGUAGAUUGAACAGUUGAGGCCUGCCACUAAUCUCUUGAAUCCUUAUUAA